UGAAAGCCGAGGCAACUUGUUUACACUCUGAAAUUUGGAUUUCUAGAGAUUUGCCUGAUAAAACUGAAAUUUGGGACUCAGGGCAGUCCACACCAGAAAAGGAAGAAAGGAAGGGGAAAUCCUUUUAUCCUUAGAUAAUUGGCACUGGUGGGCAAAGUUUUAGGAAAGCUUCUCCACCAUGACUGACAUCUCAUUGAGAAACCCUUUGCAAGAGAAGCAAGUGUGCAUGUUGGCCUGUUGCUGUGCCAUGGUCAGACCACUGGGCCCUCUGGAUCAAAGUUUAGAUCUGCCACAAACCUUUGCUGAAGAUUCUGGGGCAAGGAAGAUGGUUCUGGAAGAUGGUACUUCAGUUCAUGCAGGUACUCCUUGCCCCACUCUGUGUAGACAGCAAAACAUCUUGAGCUAGUUCUAACCAAAAUCCUCCCAUCAUUACAUGUGCUGUGACGUCAACAUAUAACCCCCAUGUAACAAUGGCCAUUUAAGUUGACCAAUCAGAUUCUCUCAUUCUGUAUCCUAGAAAACUUUUAUUGUCUCACUUCUGCAUGCCUGCAUGUUUCUGUCUGUGAGAGCGAGAGGGCAAAUGGGCCAAAAAAGAUAAAGUAAAAAAAGUUUGGCUGAUUAAAAAUCAACUGUCAACUGGAUUGUAACAAAAGUGGAUGGCAUAGCAGUGGAAAUAGGGAGGAGAAACAGGAUAAAAAGAGUCACCUCCCAGGCUGCUCCAAAGGAACUGGGAACAAAGCAUGAUGGGAAUUGUGGUUUUUGAGUUGAAUACUGAAGCAAAAGGAAAAUAAUGACAAAGCAGUUUUGACGCAUCUUUGGGAUUUUGAAAUGAUGGAUACACUCAGGAAGAAGGCUGACGUGCACCAGGCUUCUGCUUCAGCCAAGAGCAGCAAAAGACCCUUGUUCCGAGAAACUCAGGAUGUACACUCCUAGGCUUCUUCUCCACAGCCAACUUGAAACCAGAGCGAGACCACCAUCUUAGGAGAAGAGAGCCCAGUUUGGCUACGGGAUGGAGAAUCCAGACUUUCCACCGUUACUCUGGGAAGAACUGCAUACCUAGUGGCGCAGCGAGCCCAGCAGGCACGGAUGACUUUGCUUGUAACAAGCUGAUCCCCACCCCACCCCAAACGUCUCUAGAACUCUUUGAGGAGCUAAUUUAUUUUUUUUGAAUGUGCAGUAUUAAUUAUAUAUAUAUAUAUAUAUAUAUAUAUAUUGUAAUAGCUGUUCCGCUUUCCAAGGCCUUGCCCCUCCAGCACUGCUUCUGGGGCAUUCUGCUGGGACUAGCCCCGAAAUCACUUUUCUGCCAAAUCAUCAGGAAAGCCCCAACCCCACAAGAGUUUAAAUCCUCUUGAAGUAGCUUCCCCCUCCCUUCCCACCUCUUUCAGCGAGGGCUUAGACUCUUCAAAGGCGCGGGAUGCGGGGAGCAAGCCUGCCUCGACGUUCACCUAGAAGCCUCCCUCCCUCCUCCUAGUGGCAAGGGAAGUGCAUUCUGCACAUGCUUAGAAGCACGGCCUUCAAGAUUAUUACUUCAUGUGGUUGGUCUAAGGCCUGAGAUGGAAAUGAGGGGAGCUCUGGUUUGUAUUAAAUGUUGGCUGCAGGUCAAAGUAUAUGCUGUUUGAAGCACAUGACUGACCCUUGCCUGCUUUUGUUGCUGUUAUUAGCAACUUAAUAGUAGUCACACACUGGUGUGUGUGACCCAGAUUGGGACCAGAGCUGCUCUUACCCCUGGACUUCGGGGCCGAAGUCCACAGCCCCUGGGAGCCCCUUGGAAUAUGCCCCAAGUAUGGCCUAUCACAGCAAGUCACUGCUGCUGCAUGGUAAUUAUUACAGGCAGGGAAUGGGAGACAUAGACACAUUUUUGAAAAAUAACUUAGACCAGGAGCACAGAUUUAUUCCUAGGCAUUUGAGGAGUUCUCCCCUCAUCUUACUGAACUCCCCCCUCCCCACCUAGUAAUAACCCGUAGCUCCCAGAAGUGUCUUUCCUCUCCCCUCCCUGCAAAAAACAGAGGCUGCUCAAGUUUCCCCUAUGUCUGCACCCCUGACUGACAGUUCCCACCCCCACCUGAUUGCUUUCUGUCAGGGGCCAGUUUGGAUUUUUAGCCAGGGCUCCCUCAGAGAAAAUACAGCUCAGAUUGAGGCAAAGGUGGGUCCGUCUUGUUCACUGCCCUGCAAACCCCACUCAGCCUUGUGCUCCAUUAACUUGAAUGUAGACAUGUUGCAUUUUUAAUUCCUCUCAGAGCACAACAUGAACAUUCCACGUCAAAACCCCAAACUGGCAGGGUUUGUGAGUCUAGGGCUUUAUACGUCUUUAUAAGAAAUACUCCAAGAAGAGUAUUUGGUCUAUCAAUCUGGCAGACGUAAAUGGUCUAACAGUCAUUCCAUCUCCUUGGGGAAUUCUGGUGGGAACUGUAAUUCCAUAAUGGAGUUUUGAGAUUUUUAACAAAGAAUUCACAAGCCACAAUUCCCAGGAUCAUCUGAGCGCAGCUGUCGCAGUUAAAGUGAUAUAAAACCAGUAUAAACCACUAUAAAUGUGUAAUUUAGACAUGUCCCUUAUAUUUUCCUUUGUGGAAGCGAUAGAUUCUAACAAAGGAUGCAAUGUCUCCAGCCAGUUACUUUUAUAAAUUGUUUGAUAACUCUGAUCAUUGCCAGUCGUUCCUUUUGUGGAUGGCUUCUCAAUAGGGGCAUCUUUCCAGUAAAUGUAGCCUGGCUUUUAUCUGAA